AGACGUAGGGGGCAAGCGUUGUCCGGAAUUACUGGGCGUAAAGGGUGCGUAGGCGGCAUUACAAGUCUAAUGUGAAAUCCCCGUGCUUAACAUGGGGUUUGCAAUAGAAACUGUAAAGCUAGAGUGCAGGAGAGGUAAGUGGAAUUCCUAGUGUAGCGGUGAAAUGCAUAGAUAUUAGGAGGAACACCAGUGGCGAAGGCGACUUACUGGACUGUAACUGACGCUGAGGUGCGAAAGCGUGGGGAGC
rnacentral:rRNA from 1 species